rnacentral:rRNA from 1 species
AAGUGAGUGGCGAACGGGUGAGUAACACGUGGGUAACCUGCCCAGAAGUAGGGGAUAACACCUGGAAACAGAUGCUAAUACCGUAUAACAGAGAAAACCGCAUGGUUUUCUUUUAAAAGAUGGCUCUGCUAUCACUUCUGGAUGGACCCGCGGCGUAUUAGCUAGUUGGUGAGGUAAAGGCUCACCAAGGCAGUGAUACGUAGCCGACCUGAGAGGGUAAUCGGCCACAUUGGGACUGAGACACGGCCCAGACUCCUACGGGAGGCAGCAGUAGGGAAUCUUCCACAAUGGACGCAAGUCUGAUGGAGCAACGCCGCGUGAGUGAAGAAGGGUUUCGGCUCGUAAAGCUCUGUUGUUAAAGAAGAACGUGGGUAAGAGUAACUGUUUACCCAGUGACGGUAUUUAACCAGAAAGCCACGGCUAACUACGUGCCAGCAGCCGCGGUAAUACGUAGGUGGCAAGCGUUAUCCGGAUUUAUUGGGCGUAAAGCGAGCGCAGGCG